UCUCAGUUCCAAACAUUUGUAUGAAAAUGAAUUUACCCGAACAGAUCAAUUCAAGCAAGGGGGCGGGGGAAUGGGUGACUUUUACAUCAUGGAGGAGAUUCCUUUUACAGAAAAGCAGGGCAUUCCUCACUGAUAGUUUGUCUUAACUGGAUGCAACGAUGGACAAGUAUUAGGCUGGUCCUCCCUUGCAGCUCAAAAUGUAGUUCAAAGAACAAGUAAGUGGUAGUGACUUGGAAAGUAUGGAAAAGACUUUGGUUUCAGUAAGCAUAUUAAAGCAUACGUAGUUCUAAUUCAGCCUUAGCACAAAGCUCCCAGGUUGUGCCUUUACUGCCACUAUGGAAAGUCCUUAUCUGUGAAGGAGAAAUCUGUUCCCUCUCCUGCAAGCCUUCUUAUACUUGUCUACAUGAAUUCCUUGCUGCAUUUGGCUAACAGACUGUUAAAUACAAAGCUCUGGUUUAUUUGUUUGUUUAAUCCCUACAGUCCAAGUGGCUUAAAAAUGGAUGAAGACGCUUGUAGCAUAUACACUGAAACUAAUAUGUAUCUUUCAGAAUCUAGGUGGAGAAACUGUGUGUGUGUGUGUGUGUGUGUGUGUGUGUAACACAAUUAGUAUUUUCUUUUCCAACUAAGAAAAAAUGUAAGAAUUUAUUUAGGCAAACAGGAACCAAAACAUAUGGUUACAGGGUCCAGCAGAGAUCUAUAGGUUACUAUAUUAUUUCCAAUGGUUGUUUCAUAGUUUAGGUUUAAUAUAUUAUUGACAGAUUCAUAUCAAUAACUGAUUCUAGACUAGAUGUGAAUUUAUUAACGUAAUUUAACUAGCAGAACCGAAUUAAAUACUGGAUUGAAACUCA